CCUACGGGCGGCAGCAGUGAGGAAUAUUGGUCAAUGGGCUUACGCCUGAACCAGCCAAGUCGCGUGAGGGAAGACUGCCCUAUGGGUUGUAAACCUCUGUCAGCAGGGAAGAACGGUCACUGUGCUAAUCAGCAUUGAAUUGACGGUACCUGCAAAGCAAGCACCGGCGAACUCCGUGCCAGCAGCCACGGUAAUACGGCGGGUGCGAUCGUUAAUCGGAAUUACUGGGCGUAAAGCGCUCGUAGGCGGUAUGUCAAGUCAAGGGUGAAAUCCGCGCGCUCAACGUGGGAACGGCCUUUGAAACUGGCAAACUGGAGUGUGUGAGAGGCUGGUGGAGUGCCAGGUGUAGGAGUGAAAUGCGUAGAUAUCUGGAGGAACAUCGGUGGCGAAGGCGACUAGCUGGCACAUAACUGACGCUGAGGAGCGAAGGCGUGGGUAGCAAACAGGAUUAGAUACCCUUGUAGUC
rnacentral:rRNA from 1 species